UGGGGAUGACGUCAAAUCAUCAUGCCCCUUAUGAUUUGGGCUACACACGUGCUACAAUGGACAAUACAAAGGGCAGCGAAACCGUGAGGUCAAGCCAAUCCCAUAAAGUUGUUCUCAGUUCGGAUUGAAGUCUGCAACUCGACUACAUGAAGCUGGAAUCGCUAGUAAUCGUAGAUCAGCAUGCUACGGUGAAUACGUUCUCGGGUCUUGUACACACCGCCCGUCACACCACGAGAGUUUGUAACACCCGAAGCCGGUGGAGUAACCAUUUGGAGCUAGCCGUCGAAGGUGGGACAAAUGAUUGGGGUGAAGUCGUAACAAGGUAGCCGUAUCGGAAGGUGCGGCUGGAUCACCUCCUUUCUAAGGA
rnacentral:rRNA from 1 species